rnacentral:rRNA from 1 species
GACGAACGCUGGCGGCGUGCCUAACACAUGCAAGUCGAGCGGGGGGAGUUCUUCGGCUCGAACCUAGCGGCGGACGGUUGCGUAACACGUGGGCAACCUGCCUUGAGGAGGGGUUUAACAGGGUGAAAGUCCUGCUAAUACCGCAUAACCCGGUGCUGUCGCAUGAUUGCAUCGGCGAAGGAGCAAUCCGCCUCAAGAUGGGCCCGCGGCGCAUUAGCUAGUUGGUGGGGUAACGGCCUACCAAGGCGACGAUGCGUAGCCGACCUGAGAGGGUGAUCGGCCACAUUGGAACUGAGACACGGGCCAGACUCAUACGGGAGGCAGCAGUGGGGAAUAUUGCACAAUGGGCGAAAGCCUGAUGCAGCAACGCCGUGUGAGCGAUGAAGGCCGUCGGGUUGUAAAGCUCUGUCUUCGCUGACGAAAUCUGACGGUAAGCGAGGAGAAAGCAACGGCUAACUACGUG